rnacentral:rRNA from 1 species
AUGGACUACUGCAAGCUUGAAGAAGAGGCAGAAGCCCACAACCUAGAACAGGUGCGUAAUCCAAUCACAAGGUUUUACAAAGAAAAGAUUGUUGGCAAGUUUGCAAGGAUGAUUUCUGAGGGUAGGAUGGCAAAGAAGCUGAGGGAGGCCAUAGAGAAGUUAGACAGUGUUGCUCAAGAUGUGGGCAAUUUCCUUCAGCUUUUAUGCCGUGUUGAUAAUCUUGUCUUGCAAGAUCAUGCUGAAAGCAGUGAACAGCAGACUAGCUCCACUUUGGUGCCUAUUGAGAUCUUUGGCCGUGACAGUGAGAAGAACCAGGUUAUGAGGUGGUUGACUCAUAAUGUAUAUGAUGAUCCAGAUACAGUUACUCGAGUCCCGAUUUUUGCAAUAAUCGGAAUUGGAGGUAUAGGAAAGACAACCCUUGCUCAGAUUGUCUGCGAAGAGUUGAAAGAUUCAGCACACUUUGACUGUAUUCUGUGGGUACAUGUUUCUGAUAAUGUUUUCAGUUCAACAAGGAUAAUGAAAAAGAUCUUGGAGGCAGUUACAAAAGAGAAGCCUAAUGCUGAUACUUUGGAAGCAUUGCAACAGAUUCUCAGGGACAAACUUGGCCUUAAGAAAGUUCUACUUAUUUUGGAUGAUGUUUGGGAAGAUAGCAAAACAAGUGAAUGGGAAACAUUAAUGGCUCCUUUGCGGAGUAUGCAGAGAGGAAGCAAGAUCCUGCUGACAACCCGAAUGAGAUCUGUGGCAGAUAUGGUUGCAGGUGUGAUGAGAAGUAGAAAUGAUUAUUUGCACUUAGAUGGAUUAAAUGAAGAUGAAAAUUUUAUGCUCUUCAAGAAGUAUGCAUUUGAUGGUUUGGAUUUGGAAGAUUAUGCACACCUCUUGCCAAUUGCUGAAGAAAUAGCAGAAAAGUUUCAUGGCUGUCCUUUGGUGACAAAGAUUGCAGGUGGCCAUCUACAAAGCAAUGUAAGUGAUCAGCAUUGGAAGGACCUGCACAGACAAUUAGAACAUUUAGAAGGAAGCACUGAUGCUAUCGUCACAACUGUUCUUCGAUCGAGCUACCAUCAUCUACCUGAGCACUUACAGCUUUGUUUUAGAUACUGUAGCAUAUUUCCAAAAGAUCACAAGUUUAAGGAAGACAUUGUGAAAAUGUGGAUGGGUUCAGGACUGAUCCUACAAACUGAAGGUGGUUCCGAAAGGCCAGAAGACAUGGGAGGAAGAUACUUUGUGCAGUUGGCAAGAAAGUCAUUCUUUACUUUUGUGCCAACAGUUGAUCCUUACCAGAAAUACUACACGGAGUAUUAUGUCAUUCAUGAUUUACUGCAUGAAUUGGCACGUAAUGUUUCUAUCGGUGAAUGCCUAAGACUUGAAUCCGGUGGUUUUCUGCAUCACAAGUGUACAGUUAGACACUUAUGGAUAGCAAACUUCAGCAAGUUAUCAUGUGAGGAGAUCAAGGCCAUUUCCUGCUUUAAGAGUUUGUGUACACUCGUCAUGGAAGACUCUUAUCAUGUCAGUGCUGGUCAUGAAGAUGCACUGCAGGAAGUCAUAAAAACUGUCAAGUGCUUGCGGUUAUUGAGCUUAAAAGGGAUAACCAAGUUCUAUUUCCCAAAUGAAGUUGCUAAUAAGCACCUUCGUUAUAUCUCUGUCUCUAGGAUGGAGGAAAUACAUGGACUUUCUAAGCUCUAUCAUUUACAAGUACUUACUGCAGCGAAAAGAAUAGGUACAACAUCAGAACAAGUGGAGAAUAUGGAAAACAUGUUUCAUCUGCGGUAUGUGUCCUAUGGUAGUAAUGGAUAUGGUGAGUUUCCUGUUGGCAGAUUAACUUCACUGCAAGAGUUGUAUAACUUCAAAAUUCAGUCAGUGGAAGGUCACCGAAUAAGUUCAUUAAAGAAUUUAACAAGCCUUUGCAAGCUACAAAUGUGCAACCUUGAGAAUGUUGGGGGUCAUGAAGAGGUUAUCCAGGCAAAGCUAAAUGAUAAAUCCUAUCUUAGGUCACUGUCACUUAACUGGUCUGAAACUAAUGAUGAUCUAAAGGAAGACAACCUAGUUCUUGAUAAACUUGAGCCACAUGCUUGUCUUGAAAAUCUGGAAAUUACAGGAUAUAGUGGUGUCCGAUUCCCAUCUUGGAUAAACCAUCACCCUCUGGUCAAUAUGGUGUCACUUGAGCUGAGAUGGUGCAAAAACUGGGUGCACCUCCCGUCUCUUGGAAAUCUGCAGUUACUCAAGCACCUCGAGUUGCAAAACCUUAGUGGAUUGGAACGGAUUGGGCCAUCAUCUGGUGACUCCUUCCCUCAAAAUCUGAAAACCCUAGUGGUGGAAGGAUGUCAAGAGUUGAGGAAUCUACCACUUCUACCUCUGACUUUGAUGCAGUUGGAAAUAAAUAAUGUUGGAUUGGAAAUCCUCCCAAGAAUAGGGGCCCACCAUGAUAAUGUAGAUUCUCAGACCACAGCACCCAAGCUAGUAUCAGUCAUCAUAAGCAAUUGUUCAAAUUUGACUACGUUGUCAGAGAGCUUUCUACUGCAGGAACACUAUAUCUGCACUCUUCGGAUCCUAAAGAUUGUUGCCUGUGCACAGUUAAAACAUGCUCCUUUAUCAUUUGGGAGCAUGAAUGAUCUUACAGAAUUUUGUAUUGGGAGCUGUUACUCAUUGAGAAUGAUGGAGAAUGUUGAUGGUGGACUACUCCCUUGCACGCUUAAGGAACUGUCUAUGAUGCAGUGCGGUGACCUCCAACUUCCUCUGCUCGAUUCACUGGUUGGUCUGACUAAUCUUAAAUCAUUAAGUUUGUGCAACUGCUCCAGGGUGAAGUCUCUUCCAUCAUCAGAGGUGUUCCAGAGUCUCACGGCACUUCGAGAAAUGGUUGUAAAAGACUGUAUUUUCUUGUCAUCCUUGGGUGGGCUUGGAGCUCUUUCAUAUCUCAGUUGGCUAGAAAUUACAGACUGUGAGCAGCUUCAUCUGGCUGCAGAAACAGGUGAAAUGGAUGGAGAUUCAUCGUUCGAGGUCUCCCUGAAGGUCUACUCACUCUGGAUCCAUACCCCUUGCAUGUUAGAAAAUGAGCCACUGAGUAGAUUGUGUAACACAAAAAACUUGAUCAUCUCUGUUGGCUGUGGCACAAUAUCUCAGCAAUGGAUGAGACAAAAUAGAAGGUCCCUUGAGUCCCUGGAGAUACUGAAGGUGGGGAUGAUUAUGUUAAUGCUAGAAGAGUUUUGCUCUCUCAAGAGACUGGAGUUUGAUGUAGUUCCCUGUCACCUCCCGUUUCCCUAUCUGCCCUCUUCGCUGGAGUCUUUCAUUAUCAAAAAAUGUGAUCCAGAGGUGGCGGAAAGCUGGAAAAAGGAAGGAAGCUAUGAAUGGAACAACAUUUCCUGCAUUGGUCAUGUGAGAAUAGGAGACACGAACUACUAUUUGGGUCAGGAGAGACCUGUCACAAAUUUGGUAAACACGGCUACCCAUUUUGAUAGCUGUGGUCCUUUACGAGGAAAGAGAACUAAAAGGUGA